UACGUAGGGUCCGAGCGUUGUCCGGAGUUACUGGGCGUAAAGCGCGCGCAGGCGGCGGUGCUGGCCCGGCGUGAAAGCCCCCGGCUCAACCGGGGAGGGUCGUCGGGGACGCACCGCUUGAGGGCGGUAGGGGCUGGUGGAAUGCCUGGUGUAGUGGUGAAAUGCGUAGAGAUCAGGCGGAACACCCGUGGCGAAGGCGGCCAGCUGGGCCGUCCCUGACGCUGAGGCGCGAAGGCGGUGGGGAGCGAACGGG
rnacentral:rRNA from 1 species